GUUCUUAUAGCUUAAAUUUAAAAGCACAGUGCUGAAGACGCUGGGAUAAUCUGUGAUUUAAGAACA
rnacentral:tRNA from 1 species